UUAAGCGACUAAGCGUACACGGUGGAUGCCCUGGCAGUCAGAGGCGAUGAAGGACGUGCUAAUCUGCGAAAAGCGUCGGUAAGGUGAUAUGAACCGUUAUAACCGGCGAUGUCCGAAUGGGGAAACCCAGUGCAAUUCGUUGCACUAUCGUUAACUGAAUACAUAGGUUAACGAGGCGAACCGGGGGAACUGAAACAUCUAAGUACCCCGAGGAAAAGAAAUCAACCGAGAUUCCCCCAGUAGCGGCGAGCGAACGGGGAGCAGCCCAGAGUCUGAAUCAGCUUGUGUGUUAGUGGAACGGUCUGGAAAGUCCGACGGUACAGGGUGAUAGUCCCGUACACCAAAAUGCACAGGUUGUGAACUCGAAGAGUAGGGCGGGACACGUGGUAUCCUGUCUGAAUAUGGGGGGACCAUCCUCCAAGGCUAAAUACUCCUGACUGACCGAUAGUGAACCAGUACCGUGAGGGAAAGGCGAAAAGAACCCCGGCGAGGGGAGUGAAAAAGAACCUGAAACCGUGUACGUACAAGCAGUGGGAGCACCUUCGGGUGUGACUGCGUACCUUUUGUAUAAUGGGUCAGCGACUUAUAUUCUGUAGCAAGGUUAACCGUAUAGGGGAGCCGCAGGGAAACCGAGUCUUAACUGGGCGUUAAGUUGCAGGGUAUAGACCCGAAACCCGGUGAUCUAGCCAUGGGCAGGUUGAAGGUUGGGUAACACUAACUGGAGGACCGAACCGACUAAUGUUGAAAAAUUAGCGGAUGACUUGUGGCUGGGGGUGAAAGGCCAAUCAAACCGGGAGAUAGCUGGUUCUCCCCGAAAGCUAUUUAGGUAGCGCCUCGUGAAUUCAUCUUCGGGGGUAGAGCACUGUUUCGGCUAGGGGGUCAUCCCGACUUACCAACCCGAUGCAAACUACGAAUACCGAAGAAUGUUAUCACGGGAGACACACGGCGGGUGCUAACGUCCGUCGUGAAGAGGGAAACAACCCAGACCGCCAGCUAAGGUCCCAAAGUCAUGGUUAAGUGGGAAACGAUGUGGGAAGGCACAGACAGCCAGGAUGUUGGCUUAGAAGCAGCCAUCAUUUAAAGAAAGCGUAAUAGCUCACUGGUCGAGUCGGCCUGCGCGGAAGAUGUAACGGGGCUAAACCAUGCACCGAAGCUGCGGCAGCGACACUAUGUGUUGUUGGGUAGGGGAGCGUUCUGUAAGCCUGCGAAGGUGUGCUGUGAGGCAUGCUGGAGGUAUCAGAAGUGCGAAUGCUGACAUAAGUAACGAUAAAGCGGGUGAAAAGCCCGCUCGCCGGAAGACCAAGGGUUCCUGUCCAACGUUAAUCGGGGCAGGGUGAGUCGACCCCUAAGGCGAGGCCGAAAGGCGUAGUCGAUGGGAAACAGGUUAAUAUUCCUGUACUUGGUGUUACUGCGAAGGGGGGACGGAGAAGGCUAUGUUAGCCGGGCGACGGUUGUCCCGGUUUAAGCAUGUAGGCUGAUUGUCCAGGCAAAUCCGGAUAAUCAAGGCUGAGGUGUGAUGACGAGGCACUACGGUGCUGAAGUAACAAAUGCCCUGCUUCCAGGAAAAGCCUCUAAGCAUCAGGUAACAUUAAAUCGUACCCCAAACCGACACAGGUGGUCAGGUAGAGAAUACCAAGGCGCUUGAGAGAACUCGGGUGAAGGAACUAGGCAAAAUGGUGCCGUAACUUCGGGAGAAGGCACGCUGGUGUGUAGGUGAAGUCCCUGCGGAUGGAGCUGAGACCAGUCGAAGAUACCAGCUGGCUGCAACUGUUUAUUAAAAACACAGCACUGUGCAAACACGAAAGUGGACGUAUACGGUGUGACGCCUGCCCGGUGCCGGAAGGUUAAUUGAUGGGGUUAUCCGUAAGGAGAAGCUCUUGAUCGAAGCCCCGGUAAACGGCGGCCGUAACUAUAACGGUCCUAAGGUAGCGAAAUUCCUUGUCGGGUAAGUUCCGACCUGCACGAAUGGCGUAAUGAUGGCCAGGCUGUCUCCACCCGAGACUCAGUGAAAUUGAACUCGCUGUGAAGAUGCAGUGUACCCGCGGCAAGACGGAAAGACCCCGUGAACCUUUACUAUAGCUUGACACUGAACAUUGAGCCUUGAUGUGUAGGAUAGGUGGGAGGCUUUGAAGCGUGGACGCCAGUCUGCGUGGAGCCAACCUUGAAAUACCACCCUUUAAUGUUUGAUGUUCUAACGUUGGCCCCUGACCGGGGUUGCGGACAGUGUCUGGUGGGUAGUUUGACUGGGGCGGUCUCCUCCCAAAGCGUAACGGAGGAGCACGAAGGUUAGCUAAUCCUGGUCGGACAUCAGGAGGUUAGUGCAAUGGCAUAAGCUAGCUUGACUGCGAGCGUGACGGCGCGAGCAGGUGCGAAAGCAGGUCAUAGUGAUCCGGUGGUUCUGAAUGGAAGGGCCAUCGCUCAACGGAUAAAAGGUACUCCGGGGAUAACAGGCUGAUACCGCCCAAGAGUUCAUAUCGACGGCGGUGUUUGGCACCUCGAUGUCGGCUCAUCACAUCCUGGGGCUGAAGUAGGUCCCAAGGGUAUGGCUGUUCGCCAUUUAAAGUGGUACGCGAGCUGGGUUUAGAACGUCGUGAGACAGUUCGGUCCCUAUCUGCCGUGGGCGCUGGAGAAUUGAGGGGGGCUGCUCCUAGUACGAGAGGACCGGAGUGGACGCAUCACUGGUGUUCGGGUUGUCAUGCCAAUGGCACUGCCCGGUAGCUAAAUGCGGAAGAGAUAAGUGCUGAAAGCAUCUAAGCACGAAACUUGCCCCGAGAUGAGUUCUCCCUGAGACUUUAAGUCUCCUGAAGGAACGUUAAAGACGAUGACGUUGAUAGGCCGGGUGUGUAAGCGCAGCGAUGCGUUGAGCUAACCGGUACUAAUGAACCGUGAGGCUUAACCUU
rnacentral:rRNA from 1 species